rnacentral:rRNA from 1 species
CAAUAGCGUAUAUUAAAGUUGUUGCAGUUAAAAAGCUCGUAGUUGGAUUUGUGGCGUACGGUGUGUUCCGGGCACUUGUUGUCUGAGUAACCUGCUGUUGCCAUCCUUGGGUGGAACCUGUGUGGCAUUAGGUUGUCGUGCAGGGGAUGCCCAUCAUUUACUGUGAAAAAAUUAGAGUGUUCAAAGCAGGCUUAUGCCGUUGAAUAUAUUAGCAUGGAAUAAUGAGAUAGGACUUUUUUGCUAUUUUGUUGGUUUGCGCAAGAAGGUAAUGAUUAAUAGGGACAGUUGGGGGUAGUCGUAUUCCAUUGUCAGAGGUGAAAUUCUUGGAUUUUUGGAAGACGAACUACUGCGAAAGCAUUUACCAAGGAUGUUUUCAUUAA